AGUAGAAGAAUGUGAUAAAGAUUCAUGGAUAUUGAUGGACAGAUUAUUUUGACGAUUUAAAAUUGUGCAUUGAUGUGGAUUGAAGAAGAAGAAUGAUAUUAAUUCGGGGAAAUUUAUCGUUUUUUUUUUAAGGAUUAUUAUACGAGAUGGUGUUUGAGUGAAGUUGUUUUUGGUUGUUUGAACUUUGGUUGAAAGUUUUUCUUUUCUUUUCUUUUCUUUUGUUUUUUUUU